rnacentral:rRNA from 1 species
CAGCAGCCGCGGGAAUACGUAGGUGGCAAGCGUUGUCCGGAAUUAUUGGGCGUAAAGGGCUCGCAGGCGGUUUCUUAAGUCUGAUGUGAAAGCCCCCGGCUCAACCGGGGAGGGUCAUUGGAAACCGGGAAACUUGAGCGCAGAAGAGGAGAGUGGAAUUCCACGUGUAGCGGUGAAAUGCGUAGAGAUGUGGAGGAACACCAGUGGCGAAGGCGACUCUCUGGUCUGUAACUGACGCUGAGGAGCGAAAGCGUGGGGAGCGAACAGGAUUAGAUACCCCCGUAGUCCCUGUCUCUUAUAC